UGAAAAGGUGUCGCGUCAGCUGGUGCUUUAAUGGACCCUUACUCCACGUUUUUUGUCGCAGGAAGCGAUGACGUCGCAAGAAUAUCAUCUCUUCUCACAACUUCAGAACUGGAAUGGGAAUAGCCAGGAUUGUUCAAAAAGGAAUUUCGGGAUGUGAGUGGGAUGCAACGCCUCUCCAAGGACACUGCACUUCCUCUGCCUGUUCCCCAAUUAAGAAUUCAUAGAUCCAAACAAAAACACGCCGGGAACAAGAACACGUCACUUAAAUGAGCGAUGACACAAACUGUCUCUUAAAAAAAUGUUUGAGCUGUGGCAAAGGAAAGGAAGAGGAUGUCUCAAAGUGUGCAUGCAGAUCGGUUAAAGUCCUCUUGGUGAAAACGAGAUGCCGUGUUUCUUCUCCGCCAUCCUCUCCCUCUGCCUCCUGCUGCUCCGGGCCCCUGCUUAUGUGAUGCUAAUUGUUUCUGCUACUUGUGCCAAGUACCUACUCUUCCCCAGCACAUUCUACAGACAGGCCCUGGUCCCUCGGCUGCUUUUUGUGUCUGUUUAAGGAAUGAAAAAAUGUGCACUGCCAUCUGCGGCGAGCGCACCACCGUUUCCCCUCCCGGCCUUGACUGUCACUGUGCCACAAUGAUACACGUUCACGAAGUCUCUCUGAGGUAAAAAAAAAAAAAAAAAAAAAAA